UACGAAGGGGGCUAGCGUUGCUCGGAAUUACUGGGCGUAAAGGGUGCGUAGGCGGGUCUUUAAGUCAGGGGUGAAAUCCUGGAGCUCAACUCCAGAACUGCCUUUGAUACUGAGGAUCUUGAGUUCGGGAGAGGUGAGUGGAACUGCGAGUGUAGAGGUGAAAUUCGUAGAUAUUCGCAAGAACACCAGUGGCGAAGGCGGCUCACUGGCCCGAUACUGACGCUGAGGCACGAAAGCGUGGGGAGCAAAC
rnacentral:rRNA from 1 species